UACGAAGGGGGCUAGCGUUGCUCGGAAUCACUGGGCGUAAAGGGCGCGUAGGCGGCUUUGUAAGUCGGGGGUGAAAGCCUGUGGCUCAACCACAGAAUUGCCUUCGAUACUGCAUGGCUUGAGACCGGAAGAGGUUAGUGGAACUGCGAGUGUAGAGGUGAAAUUCGUAGAUAUUCGCAAGAACACCAGUGGCGAAGGCGGCUGACUGGUCCGGUUCUGACGCUGAGGCGCGAAAGCGUGGGGAGCAAACAGG
rnacentral:rRNA from 1 species